rnacentral:rRNA from 1 species
GACGAACGCUGGCGGCGUGCUUAACGCAUGCAAGUCGAGCGAGGCCCCUCCUUCGGGAGGGUGUCCUAGCGGCGAAAGGGUGAGUAACACGUGGGCAACCUGCCCUCAGCUCUGGGAUAACUCCGGGAAACCGGGGCUAAUACCGGAUACGACCUCCACGGGCAUCUGCGGAGGUGGAAAGUUUUUUGGCUGAGGAUGGGCCGGAGGCCUAUCAGCUAGUUGGUGGGGUAGUGGCCUACCAAGGCGACGACGGGUAGCCGGCCUGAGAGGGCGACCGGCCACACUGGGACUGAGACACGGCCCAGACUCCUACGGGAGGCAGCAGUGGGGAAUAUUGCGCAAUGGGCGAAAGCCUGACGCAGCGACGCCGCGUGAGGUACGAAGGCCUUCGGGUUGUAAACCUCUUUCAGCAGGGACGAAGCGAAAGUGACGGUACCUGCAGAAGAAGCACCGGCCAACUACGUG